UGCACCAGCUGCAAGGCCUUCUUGAAAUCGGAAAUUUGGCCCCGCAGAAAAGUUUAAGCCAAGUGGCUGUCAUUAAUUAAACACCUCUUUUUUCUCCUAGUUACCCUGCUGGAGCUCCAAGAGGACACAAAAGGGACAGACCCCGAGUUAGCGCAAGGCCAGACUCAAGCUCGCGGAAUCACGAAGACGUGCAGAAACGGACAAGGGUGCGGCGAGAAAGCCGGCUGCGGGUCGCCGAAGGACGACUUGGGACCCUUAUAAAGGGACGUGGCGGUCCGGAAACCGGUAUUACGCCCUGCCCCGGCCACUGCAGACCGUGACGUCGGAGAUGCUGCGUUGUUUGGGAGUCGCGUCGUGUUCGAGGCGUAGUGCGGCUCGGGUUCUACGUGCCCGGAACGGACUCACCGAGGUAAUGUAUAUAAGCUCAACUGCCUGCGGCGGUGUUGGUUGGUGUUGAUGGCUGUGGCUGUGGCUGCCGCCUGUGGCUGUUGCU